GACGAACGCUGGCGGCGUGCUUAACACAUGCAAGUCGAACGAUGAAGCUGGAGCUUGCUCCAGUGGAUUAGUGGCGAACGGGUGAGUAACAAGUGAGCAAUCUGACCUUGACUCUGGGCUAACUGAGGGAAACCGUAGCUAAUACCGGAUACGACACCUUGGGGCAUCCAGGGGGGUGGAAAGAAUUUCGGUCAAGGAUGAGCCCGCGGUCUAUCAGCUUGUUGGUGAGGUAAAGGCGCACAAAGGCGACGACGGGUAGCCGGCCUGGGAGGGUGACCGGCCACACUGUAACUGAGACGCGGUCCAGACGCCUACGGGAGGCAGCAGUGGGGAAUAUUGCGCAAUGGGCGAAAGCCUGAUGCAGCAACGCCGCGUGAGGGAUGACGGCCUUCGGGUUGUAAACCUCUUUUAGCAGGGAAGAAGCGAAAGUGACGGUACCUGCAGAAAAAGCACCGGCUAACUACGUGCCAGCCGCCGCCGUAA
rnacentral:rRNA from 1 species